rnacentral:lncRNA from 1 species
GGGUGUUUCUAAAAAUGUUUUUUAAAUCAAAAUCAUUUGUCUAUUACUCAUGGAGAUUUUUAAAGCUGAUCGAGGUUGCAGAGAUAGUAUUAAAGGGGAGUCGUUACGUUUGAGGCUCUUUUGGAUCCUAUGAGGCUAUGAGGGUUUUGGCUUCCCUGUUCAGCCACUUCGAGCCUCGCACCCGAUUAAGACUCUAAAGUAUAAUAAUAU